GUAGCGCUGUCUGUCUCACACUCAUAUCUUCAGCUCAUCAUCUCAUGACGUAGAGAUGGAUCAGGACACGGUGAAGGAACAACAUGAGAUCCAGACUGAAGAUCAGAGGACCAGGAAGAAGCUCACAUCUGGACCUGGACCCAGCUGUGUGUCCUUUAGAAGUGACCGGUCCAUUGACAAACUCAUUAACUUCAAAGGAGGUCCAUCUACUGACCCACACAGCUUGGAGGGUGUGGAUGGUUCCUCUGGAGCUGAGCCUGACUCCAUUUUUACGGUGUAGUGGCAGGUGUGGCGUGAGUGAAGCUAUAGCGAUCAGGUGACCUUCACUAUGUACUGUAGCACCGUCUGUGUGACAUGUAAACAGUUAAGCGUCCAGGUCAGCAGGCGUGUAGACACGUGCACGUCCGUAAGUGUGUGUGUGUGUUGACUGUUGUAUCCUUUCCAAUCACAGCUACGAUCUGACUCAGAAUCAGAAAUGUUUAAUGGCCAAGUACAGUUUUAAGGACAGUACAAGGAAUUUGUCUUGGUAGAUGGUUCACGAAACAAAAACAACAAAAACAAGAACAAAGAACAACCCAGCAACAAUAAUAAUAAUAGUGAUAAAUAUAAAGGAUGAUGGAUAAAUAAAGGAUAGAUAGAGAAAAGGAUAAAUAGGAUA
rnacentral:lncRNA from 1 species